rnacentral:rRNA from 1 species
AAUGAACGUUGGCGGCGUGGAUUAGGCAUGCAAGUCGAGCGAGAACCCCGCAAGGGGGGACAGCGGCGAAAGGGACAGUAAUGUGUAGAUUAUCUGCCCUCAGGUCCGGGAUAGCUGCGGGAAACUGCAGGUAAUACCGGAUAACAUCUCCGGAUCAAAGGUGUGAUUCCGCCUGAGGAUGAGUCUGCAUCCUAUUAGCUAGUUGGUGGGGUAAUGGCCUACCAAGGCAUUGAUGGGUAGCAGGUGUGAGAGCACGACCUGCGUCAUUGGGACUGAGACACUGCACAGACACCUACGGGUGGCUGCAGUCGAGAAUCUUCGGCAAUGGGCGCAAGCCUGACCGAGCGACGCCGCGUGUGGGAUGAAGGCCUUCGGGUUGUAAACCACUGUCAGAGGGGAUGAAAUGCAGGUGGGUUCUCCCAUCUGUUUGACAUAGCCUCAGAGGAAGGACGGGCUAAGUUCGUG